GGCGCCGUCCUCAGUUGCUCCGCUGAGGGGCUCGGGAUCGGUGGUGAGGGGCGGGUCGGGCGGCGACCCCGCUCCACACACCGCGCCUGGGGCGCCGUACGCUCGCUCUCCGCCGCCGUGCCCCGCCUCGGUGCGUUCCGCUCCCGCCUCGGUCUCACCAGUUUGCUUCGGUCGGGGCUCCCCCCGGAGCACCCCUCACAGCGUCCCCUCUCCGUCUCCCCUCAGAUGUCUCAGGUGCCUCCUCCCGGUGCCCCCUUAUAGUCUCCCCUCAGUCCCCUCAGAGUGCAUCCUCCCCGCCCGUCCCCAAGUCCUCGCUUCGGUCUUCCCUGUUUUCUCCUGUCGAGGCUCCCCCUCAGGACCCCAGAGCUGUCCCCUCACAGUGUCCCCUCUCCGACUCCCCUCAAAUGUCUGUUCUCCCCUCACAGUCCCUCGCAGUCACCCCUCAGUCCCAAGAGAUGUCUCAGUGCUCUGUUCACAGCGACCUCUCCAAGUCUCCCCACAGUCCCCCUUUCCCCUCAAUCCCCUCAUAGUCACCCCCACAAUCUCCCCUCGCCGUCCCACCGCGGGUGGCUCAAUGGCCCUUCAGAGUCUCCCCUCAGUCCCUCAGAGCCCUCGUUUCAGUCGUUUGCCAGUCUCCUCGGUUUGCUCCUGUCAGGGCUGCCCCCUCAGGACCCCACAGCUGCCCCCUCACAGAGUCCCCUCUCUAACUCCCCUCAGAUGUCUCAGUGCCCCCCUCACAGUGUUCCCUCCAAGUCUCCCCAUGGUCCCCCCUUUCCCCUCUCAGUCCUUUCAGAAUCACCCCCACAAUCUCCCCUUUUGGUCCCACCACGGAUGGCUCAAUGCCCCCUCACAGUCUUUUCUCCCCUCAGUCCUCAGAGCCCCCACCCAUCUCUCAAUCCCACCAUGGAUGUCUCCUCUCAGUCUCUCCUUCCUUCCCCCUCUGUUUUCCCUCAGACUCCCAUCAGUCCCCACAGAGUUACAUUUCCAGUCUGCCUUCUCAGUCUCACCAAGGAUGUCCCCUCUUAAUGCCCCCCUCACAGCCAUCCCCCUCAGAGUGUCCCUUCUCAGUUCCCCCUCAGUCACCCCUCAACUUCCCCUCUCAGUCCCACUGUGGACGUUCACUCUCAACUUCCCCCUCACAACAUCCCAUCCCAAGCUCUCCCUCAGUGCCCCCAUUUUCCCCCCUGCCCUCAGAGGAGCCACACACGAGGGCAAAUUUCCCAUUGGAGCUGACCCACUCUCAGGCACCAGCAUCAAACCCAGCCUCACUUUACAAACACUUUCUGCUCUGUCUAGACAGACUUCCCCAGCCCAAAACAGGUUUAGAAGACUGGAGCUCAUAUACUUCCAUGGAUUUCCGUACUGGUUCCCAACCUGAGAAUCAGGUCAUAUAAGCCUCGGUGACGUGUGUGGCAGCAGAGCUCCUUGUAUCCAAACUGGUUGCUUGGGGCUGUUUUCAUCGCCUUCGUGUUGGAAUGUCCUCGAAGGGCAGCCAUAAAGCGAGGAGAGGCUGGAGAAGGGCUGGACACAAUUCUAAGGAUGUGUUGACGAGUUCCAUAAGCUGAGAUGGAUUAAUCAGCAAUAAUUUAUUGGUUUAAAGGAGAUCUCCAAUGAUCUCCUCCUGCAAAGAGACAUGGUGAACUGGCUGGCAGGUGGUCUGAUGAGAAGGAAUCUGCCCCGGGACAUCGUGAAGAGGUGGGAGCUUCUGCCUGUUGCUUGUCAUGGAAAAGGGAAGAUGCGUUCAGCUGCUACUGAAACCAGGAACUCCAGCUCAAAACCAGGAACAUCAGCUUGGAAGGAUGCUGCUCUGGUGCUGCUGUGGCUGAAGGAGGCUCAACCCCACAUCAUCGGCCACCCAGCUCAGAGACACCGAUAUCACCUACCUUCGCCCACUGAGCCGCAUACGGAGUUGGGAGCCCUGAACUGCAGCACUCCCGUGGUCUCU